rnacentral:rRNA from 1 species
UACGGAGGGGGCAAGCGUUGUUCGGAAUUACUGGGCGUAAAGGGCGCGCAGGCGGCUGCUCAAGUCAGGCGUGAAAGGCCUGGGCUCAACCCGGGAAUUGCGAUGAAGACUGCAAGGCUUGAAUCUGGCAGAGGGGGGGUAGAAUUCCACGUGUAGCAGUGAAAUGCGUAGAGAUGUGGAGGAACACCGAUGGCGAAGGCAGCCCCCCUGGGUCAAGAUUGACGCUCAUGCACGAAAGCGUGGGGAGCAAACAGG